GUAGGUGGCAAGCGUUGUCCGGAAUUAUUGGGCGUAAAGCGCGCGCUGGCGGUUCUUUAAGUCUGAUGUGAAAGCCCACGGGCUCAACCGUGGAGGGUCAUUGGAAACUGGAGAACUUGAGUACAGAAGAGGAAAGCGGAAUUCCACGUGUAGCGGUGAAAUGCGUAGAGAUGUGGAGGAACACCAGUGGCGAAGGCGGCUUUCUGGUCUGUAACUGACGCUGAGGCGCGAAAGCGUGGGGAGCAAACAGGAUUAGAUACCCUGGUAGUCCACGCCGUAAACGAUGAGUGCUAAGUGUUAGGGGGUUUCCGCCCCUUAGUGCUGCAGCUAACGCAUUAAGCACUCCGCCUGGGGAGUACGGCCGCAAGGCUG
rnacentral:rRNA from 1 species